CCCUUAGAGUUUGAUCCUGGCUCAGGAUGAACGCUGGCGGCGUGCUUAACACAUGCAAGUCGAGCGAAGCAAUUUAAGUGAAGUUUUCGGAUGGAUCUUAGAUUGACUGAGCGGCGGACGGGUGAGUAACGCGUGGAUAACCUGCCUCACACAGGGGGAUAACAGUUAGAAAUGACUGCUAAUACCGCAUAAGCGCACGGUACCGCAUGGUACAGUGUGAAAAACUCCGGUGGUGUGAGAUGGAUCCGCGUCUGAUUAGGUAGUUGGUGAGGUAACGGCCCACCAAGCCGACGAUCAGUAGCCGACCUGAGAGGGCGACCGGCCACAUUGGGACUGAGACACGGCCCAAACUCCUACGGGAGGCAGCAGUGGGGAAUAUUGCACAAUGGGCGAAAGCCUGAUGCAGCAACGCCGCGUGAGUGAAGAAGUAUCUCGGUAUGUAAAGCUCUAUCAGCAGGGAAGAAAA
rnacentral:rRNA from 1 species